AACAGCAAACCUGGCAACCUCUAGAUAUAGAUAAGCAGUACCACCACUCUCCUCCUCUUUCUUUUUCCAGACCUUUCCAUCCUCCAUAUGUAGAGCAAACUGCGCAAUGAAUCCAAUGUGGGACAGAAAGGCGACAAAAUGGCGACAUGACAGCAGCCGUCCAACUGACAGAAUCCGUCUGUCUUAAACUACUGUAAUAAACUGUAUAUUGGUUAUUGCAUGUUACUGUACAUAUGU